AAUUUUCCGUUUUUUAUGGAUCUCGAGAUCGACAAUGCAUGGAGGAGAGCAGUAUCCACGCCGCCGCCUCCUCCAUAGCAGUUCUACGCCUUCGUCGUCUCUUCCACCGUGCAGCCCCUUGUCCCAAUCCUCCACGGCGGCCUGCGGUCCGGGACUGAAGUGCUGACAUCCAGUUUGCAGCGGCGGCGAGGAGGAGAGGCGACGGUCAUGGCGCUCGGUAGAGCAGUUGAAUGUCCAGGGAGGAGUGACGGCAAGGAUGGCUUCACGGUGGUGACGACGAUAAUGAGGCAAAGCACAGAUUCUGGGGAGACUUGGCACAGCAAGCCAAAGUUUGCGCAUGUUUCAAACGGAAUGUUGAGAAGCAUCGAUUUAAUAGUAAUUUAGUUACUAAGAGACAAUAUGUUGUUGAACUAUCAGUGUAAUAGUAACUUGGUUACUAUGAGAAACUUUGUGGCAAGAUCAAUAUGUUAUGU
rnacentral:sRNA from 1 species